AUCUCACGAAAAAGCCAGCACCUCCACGUGGUGUGAGAUGGAAAUGUACAGAAUUUUCUGUACAGCUGAGACUGACUU
rnacentral:ribozyme from 1 species